AUCCUUCUUUCUCCCAAAAUAUCUAGUUUUUUUUUUUUUUUUUUUUCCUUUUCCCUCACCCUCACAACCGACCUCUUUCUCCCUCUCACUCUCAAGUUCUCUCUUCUUCAUUUUCUUCCAAAAAUUCAACAAAACAAUCACACAAUAUUGAUUCUUGAAGCCUCUAGCUUAUUUAGCAAGCUCAAUCAUUCUCCUACCUUGCCCUGGUUGUGUCUCUUCUUCAAAAAAAUAUUUCAGAUUUGGGUUCUUGCAAAAUCAAGCUAAAAGUGAGGGAAAGACUUAUAAGCUAGGGCAUAAGCUAUUUUGGAAAAGUGAUUAUGGAGUUUUAGAGAUAGAAGAAGCUGCAAAUUGUGGAUAAGCUGCUUUCAAUCUCCAGGAAUGAUUCACGGUGAGUUCCUUUAGUUAGUUAACUGUCCCUUUGAGUAGUUUGAAUCAUGUCAUUCAAAUUGUGUUAUUUACUUUUACUCAAUACAAAAGAGAUUUUAAUGGUUAUGCAAAAUCAUGAUAAUGUGAAUGAAAUCUUAUAUGAUAUCAAUGUUAUGCAAAAUCAUAUGAAUUGGUUCUAACAAUAAAAUGCAAAAACUUUGUUUGUUACAACGAAGAGAUAAUGUAGUCUAUGAGGUACGACUCAUAGUAAC